rnacentral:rRNA from 1 species
GAACUUACAUGGAUAACCGUGGUAAUUCUAGAGCUAAUACAUGCUGGUUAGCCUGACUUUCGAGGAAGGGCUGUAUUUAUUAGAUAACAAAUCAAUAUUCCCCGUGUCUAUUGUGAUGACUCAUAAUAACUGAUCGAAUCGCAUGGACCUUGUCCGCGAUACAUCAUUCAAGUUUCUGCCCCAUCAGCUUUCGAUGGUAGUGUAUUGGACUACCAUGGCUUUAACGGGUAACGGAGGAUUAGGGUUCGAUUCCGGAGAGGGAGCCUGAGAAACGGCUACCACAUCUAAGGAAGGCAGCAGGCGCGU